UGUAGCAAUCGUAUGCUGCUUGUUUCAAAGACUGUUUCCACUGCAAAAAGGCACAUUAACAAAUAAUCAAUGGUACAGCUGCAAAAUAAUAUUGAAAAAGUUUGUAUAUUUCACACUAAUUCGGCAUGACUACAGAUGAAGAACUCAAUUGCUUAUGGUUUUUCUCAAAGAGUCGUGCACUGCAAUUGGAGUAACUUUAAUGCACAUGUUCUAUGGCAAUCAGGACAGCCAGUGCGCCGAUCAUGUCAGUGCUUUGGGUACCAAAUUUAUCAACUAUAAAUCACCUUGACCUAGAUCACUGAACUUCUCCUGAGUCAGCAGCACAACCCAGACGUACAUAUAUCUCUCAUAUACAUACUCAGGGGAUCAAUUUUUUUGUUUAUUUCCUUUCUGUUUUCCUCAUAACAUCGCUUUUCUUAUUGUGCUUUUGCUCUCUUUGUUUGUCUCCUCCCAGUGCACCACUAAAAUCAAUCACGGAGUCACGGCUGAAGUAGAUUGGGUCAAAUCGAGUAGCAUAGCAUGUCCAGCAGCGCAUGCGGAUCUCCAGUUGCAACGAGGUUUUUGGCACACGGGAUUUUUGGCACAUGGGAUUUCUGCAGUUGGUUGUGAGUAGUGCUACUCCAUUGUUGCUCGAUGGAAAGAUAAUAAUGAAGUUAUCUCAAGUCCUGAAGCCUUUACUUUA
rnacentral:rRNA from 1 species